AUUUCGAGAACCGUAACUUAAUUACAUCUGCAAAGACCAUUUUCCCAAAUAAGUUCUUAUUCACAGAUUCUGAGGAAGGGUGGUUGUACAUGGAUAUAUUUGUGGGGGUGCAUUUAUCCCGCUACAAAUGACACUGGGUCCUUCUACUUGUGGAUGGUGGGUGGGGAGAGGGUUGAACACUCCUGUAAUUCUUUCUUUUUUUUUUUUUUCCUUUUCUCCUUGUCAUGCUGAAUAUAUCGAGUCAGCAGCCAGCAUCAGGUACCUGGGAAUGAGGAAGGAAAGACAGGCAGAUGGCAAAGGGGCCUGUCAACUUCUCCUUUUCACUGACACUCACGCCACUCUUUGAUUUACAACCACAGAAUACCUAACUGCAAGAACUGCCGCAUCCCUGGUGGUCUGACCUUGUCUCUGAGCUAAGCAGCAGAUUUCAGCCACAGCGUCUGACUCUCAGGCAGACACAUCCUGUCCAAGGACUGGAGACAGAGCAUCCGUUCUCCCACCCAGAGCGGUCAGCUGCAUGUGGCUGGUUGGGGGGCGGUUCAGACAGAAACGGCCCAAGAGAAAUGGAAAUAUGAUGGCUGGUUGAUUGUUUCGCAGUCUGCAUGACAGACCACCCUCCUAACAAGACUCUAGGUCAAGUGCUCUUCUCUGCCCUGUGGAUCUACUGGGGAGAAAUUAGCUCUCGGUGGUAUUUCCAAUUAUGGAGAAAAGCGAUUCCUCCCUGGUCUGGCUAUCAUGUGUUUUGCAGUGGACCAAGAGACAUGAAGCCCGUUUUCCACCCUCGCCUCUUUCUCCAUCUAGCUGCAUGACCUUGGGAGGUGGCGUGACCUCUCGGCUUCUUUGCUGCCUCAUCUGUCAUGAUCCACCUUUACUACUUCAUAGCCAUGUUCUAGGAUAAAUGAGAGAAGCCUCUACAUCUUUUAGUCUCCCAGAAAGACUGGAACCAGUGAUGAGUUCCAUGAAGACAAAGACCUGUUUAUCUUGUUCU
rnacentral:lncRNA from 10 species